rnacentral:rRNA from 1 species
UAGGGGAUCUUCCGCAAUGGACGCAAGUCUGACGGAGCAACGCCGCGUGAGUGAAGAAGGUUUUCGGAUCGUAAAACUCUGUUGUAAGAGAAGAACAAAUUGUAGAGUAACUGCUACAGUCUUGACGGUAUCUUACCAGAAAGCCACGGCUAACUACGUGCCAGCAGCCGCGGUAAUACGUAGGUGGCAAGCGUUGUCCGGAUUUAUUGGGCGUAAAGGGGGCGCAGGCUGCUUCUUAAGUCUGAUGUGAAAGCCCACGGCUUAACCGUGGAUGUGCAUUGGAAACUGGGAAGCUUGAGUACAGAAGAGGAAAGUGGAACUCCAUGUGUAGCGGUGGAAUGCGUAGAUAUAUGGAAGAACACCAGUGGCGAAAGCGACUUUCUGGUCUGUCACUGACGCUGAGGCCCGAAAGCGUGGGUAGCAAACAGG